rfam:Stegodyphus mimosarum contig103091, whole genome shotgun sequence.
GCUCCCGUGGUGUAGUGGUCAGCACGCUUGAUGCAUAUUCAAGAGGUCCGUGGUUCAAGUCCCGGCCAGAGCA